UGCCAGCCAGCCUGGGUACCUUGUUUUCCAGAGAAAAGUGAUGUUUUGAUUCUACUUUCCUUUCUCAGCUCAAAAUGCUUCUGGAUAUGUAAAUUGAGUCUGAGAGCCCUACCUACAGUUUCCAAAUGGCCGAGACUGUAUCUGAAUCACAAAACGAGAAGCGACGCCAAGUGUGGCCUCCACCUGUAUAACCAAGAGUUAGCCCGUGAGUAAUUGCAAGAGCUGGCCUUGUUAGUGUUUCAAAGGAAGAGAAUUGGAUUAAUCUGUCGUGGGAGACAGGUCUUCAGCGAUUAAAAUCUAUUUCAAGGAGGAAAAACUGAGCUGGGACUUUAUCCCCCGGCUUCCUGCUCUUGCUGAGCGCCCGUGGGCACGCGUGAUCACAGCCCCGCCACGGUCAGACUAAGCGGGUGGGACGGCACUGCUGGCGAUCGAAUCGUUAAUCCAAGCGUUCAAGUCUGCAGGUUGCUGGGCGUCUUUUCAUGGUCGAUGUCAAGGAAAAAGGCGGUGGUCUUGAUCUUGAUCCUUCGGGCUCAACUACUUGUUCCAUGAAAGCAGGAACCCGUCUCUUACUCGCCAAACAUGCAAACCCUCGACAGGACUCAUUACAUAAACGCAUGAGCGGUGGCUGAUCGUCCGCUGCUGUGCGGGGCGACACACUUGCUUCUUUGCCCCUGUUCUAUGAAGGAAGGUCAAACGACCCCUCAGACACAGUGAGGGUUGUUGCCGGGUCCACGGCGGGCGUCCGCGGGCUCCCCCGGGCGGGGGGCUCCUUCUCCCCCCACCCCCGAAGCCCGCUUCUUCCCACUUCCAUCACUCUUGCUUCCCAUGUUCCCUCAGCCUCCGAUCUCAGUCGUCCCAAUCUUAAUUUCUACGGCUGACUCAUACUCUUCUUCAAGCUCACGUUUUCUUUCCCCUGAACUUUGCAUAGGUCCUUUCCGCUCAUUUUUUCACUCUUUCAUUCACGGAAUCCUCUCCCAGAGGCCUGGACGAGCCAUCACUGCGCUGGGCGUUCCGUGUGCGCUCGCUCUCGGCCCGGUGAGGCCCGGGGGCAGCUCCCAGGGAGACGUGCAGAAGCAAGAACUCACACCUCCGUCGAGAAAGGAGUGGUUUGGGAUGCUUCUGACACAGACGCAUCAGGGAAAUGGUGCCGCCUUGCCACUUCCUGUGUUGACCACUUGUUAGCAAGGGUGCUGUUGGAUCAACUAAUUCACCUUCUUCGACUCUCAAGUCCUCCGGGGUGCCGCGCAGAUACCAACACGCACUCCGUAGGGCGGUGUGUGGUGAGAGGGGAGGACGUUUGCAGGAGCGAGCUGCGGGCCCGCUCUCUCCCUGCCCAGCCCCAGCUCCCGGGGCCAGACCACCCACAUUGCAUCGGGAAAGAACACAAGGCUUAGCCCAGAUAAGCCAGUACGGAGGGCCAGAUGUCAUUUCUGAGGUUUUUUAACUGAGUGGAACUUUUUAUGCAGGAAAACAAGGUAAAAAUUUCCCAAGGGGUUUCUACGAGAUUUCCAGCACUUCCUAAAUUAGCCCUGACCAGUAAAACCACGAGAGCAGACUUCCUGGCAGGGCCUGGCGCUUCCAUUUCCAGUCCCAACCGAAAGCAGGAAGCAUUGAGACAAGUAAUAAUUCAACUCUUCAGUUGGCUUCCAAAAUUAUCCACAUUCAGGUCCCUUGGCAUUUGCACCAAAGGUCAGGAGUUAUUCUGAUUUUAUCUUUUCCAGGUUAUCGACUCAUUUUUGAUGGAACCAAUUGCAGACUCACUGGUCGCUGAUGGAGGUAUUUUUUUACGUGUCCCUUGGCACCCGCUGUGGGCUGAGCGGAGCCCCCUAGGAUGAGCAGGAGCCCCCGCGCUCAGGCAUGGGCAACCUGGCAAGAAAAUCCCACUCUUGGGGUUCAGAGCACCUGAGUACAGAUCCCAGCCCCGCCCGAAGCAAACUCUUUAAACUUGCUAAGUCUUGG
rnacentral:lncRNA from 12 species